AUUGAACGCUAGCGGGAGGCUUUACACAUGCAAGUCGAACGCGUGGCGGACGGGUGAGUAAUAUAUCGGAACCUGCCCAGUAGAGGGGGAUAACUACUCGAAAGUGUGGCUAAUACCGCAUCCAAUCGGAGCGGCCGAUAUCGGGGUGACUAGGUGGGGGGGUAAAGGCUCACCAAGGCAACGAUCCGUAUGUGGUUUGAGAGGUGGACCAGCCACACUGGGACUGAAACACGGCCCAGACGCCGACGGGAGGCAGCAGUGGUGAAUGUUGCACAAUGGGGGAAACCCUGAUCCAGCCAUCCCGCGUGUAUGAGAAGGCCUUCGGGUUGUAAAGUACUUUUGGCGGAGAAGCGGUAACGGCAGAAUAAGCACCGGCUAACUCCGUGCCAGCAGCCGCGGUAAUUC
rnacentral:rRNA from 1 species